rnacentral:tRNA from 1 species
GGAUCUGACUGCAGGUUGGUUAGAGCGUUGGUCUUAUGAGCCGAAGGUCGCGGGUUCGAGCCCCGCCGGGACCA